AACGUAGGUGGCAAGCGUUGUCCGGAAUUACUGGGUGUAAAGGGAGCGCAGGCGGGCUGGUAAGUUGAAUGUGAAAACCAUAGGCUCAACCUAUGGAUUGCGUUCAAAACUACUGGUCUUGAGUGAUGGAGAGGCAGGCGGAAUUCCCGGUGUAGCGGUGGAAUGCGUAGAUAUCGGGAGGAACACCAGUGGCGAAGGCGGCCUGCUGGACAUUAACUGACGCUGAGGCUCGAAAGUAUGGGGAGCAAACAGGAUUAGAUACC
rnacentral:rRNA from 1 species